CUUUCAGUAGCAAAAAAAACAGUAACAGGAAAACGAAUAGGUCUACGGAUAGAUGCAUGCUUUUAUACGAUGUACGUAUCAUGGAAAUAGGCACUUGAGAUUUAUAGUUAUUAGUUGUACAGUUAGUGCGGUGACACUGGCAAUGCGUUUAAUUUGAGCUCGAGCUAGGUGGCUUCACCUAAACAGUGUGUGAAAGAGGGAAAGGAGAGGGAACAAGAGGGGAGGGGGUGUAUGGACCUCACUGGUUACGGGACCUACAGGCACCCCGAUUGUGCUCUCAUAAUUUGUGGAGGUGAGGACAAAAGAAAGGGAAAAUUGGAGGAAAGGCCCGGGAUUUGAUUGUGACGGGGCCCCCGACUCACCGCCGCUGGUCGGGGUUGUCAAGACGACAGAGGGUGAGGGAAAAGCGGCGGAGCAGUCGACUCAAGACCGGGGUUUCCUGCCAGAGCAGCGGGAGUGUCACAAAACAACCUUUUACUCUUCGAGGGGCCUUAAGCGUUCCCAGAUGUACACAGGGCUCCUGUAAACAACUGAAGAGAGAUGGACUCACAUGGAUGGAAAUACUGGAGAGAAACUGCAAAAGAAAAACAAGAAGAUGCUGAUUAAAUGGAAACCUUACUUUUGGACAUUGGUGUGGGAGACGGUCAAUUUGAAUAAUGAUUGAAAGAAAAUUAAAAUAAGGUAAGGUAAGACCGAAACAUGUUGGAGAUAUAGAAGAGCACCAAGAUAAACACUGGUGAAGAAGAACUAAAGUUGGGGGAAACUGGGGACCAAAGACUUUUCUACAAUCCAACUACAUGUGUCAAAAAAAUCUAAGGGAAUGAGAAAAGAAAUGAGAAUUUCAAAAAGUAUUAAUCUCAACAAGAACACACAUAUCAGUGGAUUUGUUUUCCUUUUGGUUUGAGACAUUUAUUGGAUGAAAGUAUUGGUUAGCAUUUCUAAGGCUGUUUCUACACAGGUACGAGCCAAAUACAUGCAAACCUACAUGAGGGAAGCAUUAUUGUUUCGCAUAGGCUACUCCUGCCAGAACUGAAUAAUUUCUGCAAUGGCAGUCCAGCAGUCUAAAAGGCAGUGACUCAGUUACUCAUGAAAAGUUUUUGCACAUGGGACACCAUUGAAUCCCACUGCAAUUUUAUCUUAACUCUGUUUGCCUGUGCUCUUAUACAGUGGAAAGGACUUUGAGGCCUAUUAUUUCAAAUGCUGUUGUCUCUCUUGCACUUGAUAUUUUCACAUUUAGUGCCAAACUGCAACAUCUGUAUCAUAUCCUUUUAACAUUGAAAUCGCUACUACAUUUAGUACAAAAAACAGAUAUUUAGUUGUAAUUUGAACUCAGCUCUCCAACUAUUACAACUAUAAUGGAGUUACUCUACAACAUCAGAUUUCAGAAGUUCUUUAGUUGCAUCUAAUUGAAAAUUACUGGUCAUUUUCUGCUCAAGCCUCAGUAUUUGCUUCAUUUUCAAUUGCUGCUACAAGUGUGAUAAAACAUUUGUGAUAAAGUCACUUGCUUCAACUCUGCUGGACUUUGUUGGACUCUCCACCAUCCUUUCUUUAACUGCAAGCCUACGAAGUCAACUGACACAGUAAUUGCCAUUACAGAACAAAAAACAUUCCCUCAAACAAUUCAUAAAAAUCCAUCAAAACAUGCAGAAUUUCCCCAACAGUCCAGCACCUCCAGCUCUUCCUCCUGGAUUUACUAGUAGGGGUGGAGGUGGCUCCUCUUACCCACCACCGUCAACAGAUCCCCAGAUAUCCCCAAGGAUGACAGAUGACUACACUGGGAUGCAACAGCAAACCCCUCCAAACCCUCAAAGUCACAGUCGACACCUACUCCAUCGAGGGCACCACCACCCUAGUCAGGCUGGCCAUAUGCUUGCUUAUGAUGCAAGAAACAGAGCUGGGGAAUCAUCACACGGUAACAUUCACAGUGGCAGUAGUAGCAACCCUUACCAAAAGGAAACAAUGGAUUAUUAUUUUGCAAUGGGUGGAAAGGACAGACAUAGAAGAGGAGGUAUGGCAUAUGGGGCAGGUUUUGGGUACUCAAAUAUGGAUGGACAUAUACCUCAGCAGUACAGACAAGCUGGAACUAGCUCCUCCGGGAUGAUGUCUCCCUAUCCUUUGGACUAUGGUUCAACGGCCGGCUCAGGUGGUAGUAGCAGUGGCAGCAGUGGUGCUGGAGCAUUUUCCCCCUCCCAUCAGUACAAAAUGGGUCAGAACCCUGCAAUGCAGCCAGCAUCAGGGCCUCAGAUACAGCACCGCCAACAUGGACAGAAUUACCCCACCCAUCAAGCUCUGCAACAUGGACAGCAGCAUAGGACUUAUCCCAUCUCUGGACACAGAAUGCCUCCACAGUUCUCACACUACUCCCCACAGGGUAGUGCAUCCACAGGGUCAUCAGGAAUGUACAGCUCCCCACCACAGAGAUAUCAUGAUGGGGCCAGCAGUGGUGGUGGAUUUGAACCUAAAGUCAAUAACUCUCCUAAUAUGAACUCUAAUUCAAACUCAAUUUCAAGUUCAGCUACAACAAACAAUGUUGGAUCACUGGAGAAUGUUGCACAGAGUUACCACUCUUCAAGUUAUCCCUCAUACUCCCCACAAACCCAUCCACUCCACAAACAAGCCACCCUCCAGGACCGCAAUUCUCAGCACAAUUUAGGAAUAGGUUAUGACAACUCUCUCAAAAUGCAGCAUCAUGCCCCUCCACCAGGUUCUGUAUACUCUAAACAUCACCAAUCCACCAAUCCCAGAAUGCCUCAACAACCGUGUCAAGAAAUAGCCAAAUCGCCAAUGCAUUCUCAACCCCAACAGGGCCAGAUUAACCAAAACUUCAGCCCUAUAUCUAACCCCUCUCCAGCUGCCUCUGCAGUGCAGUCUCCCAGUUGUAGCUCCUCACCUUCCCCAUUGAUGGGUGUCUCAGAAGGUCAUGGGAACCCUUUAUGUCCCCCACAUGUUCCAUCACAUCCUCCUCCCCCAAAUCCUCGUAGUUGCCGUGGUCGGUUAUUGCAGACUUUGCCUCAGUUGAGUCCCACACCCAACUCCAACAGCAGCAUCAGUAGUUGUGGCAGCAGUGGCAGUAACAAAGCUACUGGUCUGAAUACAAGCGCUGGAGGUGGUCACUUAGUCUCAAACCGAAGCAGAAUGGCUGCAGGUACAGGAAAAGGAUCACAUGAAGAAGGGUCAUCCUCGUCUGUCUAUUCAUCUUCUCCUCUUGACAAACUCAUGCAAGAUCCUGGCUUGAACAGUCUAAAUGCGUUGACAUCACAGGUAGCGAAUUUACCCAAUACAGUGCAACAUAUGCUUCUCACUGACACAUUAAUGUCACAUAGAAGGGGGAAAGAUGGACAAAGUCAAAUGCUGCAGGCAUUACAAGCCAUUCCUUCUACUCAACCAAGGAGUCGAAGUGUCAGUGCUGCCUCAAGCAGUGGGAUUGGUGGUGGUGAAGGUGCUAGCUCGGAGGCUGGAGGUGAUGAGAUUCCUUUCUGGUGUCCGAAAGAGUUUCAUCAAGGGUCAAAGAGGAACGAGAUGAGCAGAUUUCUGAGGGGGAAAAUCUAGAAUGCGGCAGAUGAGUGGCACAAGCAGUGGAUCAGAACCAACUGGCUACAAUCCUCCUCCAUCUCAGAGUCAAAUGUCCAUGGGUUCAAGUAAAAACCAAUCCCAUACUGGAAAGAGUGAUCAGGGUUCACAAGGGAAGAGGAUGUUCACGGAAUCUUCUACAAAACAAUCUCUGAAUCCAUCAGAUGUUUCUGAAAGAAAGACAACUGAAACCCGGACACCUUCAUUGUCAUCUCCCUCCUCUGCUCCUCAAUCUGCUGAGCCUGGUCCAAGCGUACAUUCUCGCCCUCCUGUUUCCUCUACUCCCUCAUGCCCCAUUCCCUCUCCUGCUCCUCAGUUCCACGUAAACUGUGCCACUGAUGUUAAUAGUAAAAAUGGGCUUAGGAAAACAAGGGAAAUUAAAUAUGAAGGAAUUAAAGAUGAAAGUGGAGGGAUGGAUUGAAAAAGGCACCCAUGGUGGAGAGCAGACCCGAGAGGGACACAUGCGACAAGAUGGGCAGGACAAAGAAAAUAAAUUGGAUCGAUCUUCCUUCCGUAACAAAAAGAGUGAUGAGAAGGAUGGAAAACGAUGUAAGACACGAGAUUUGGACAACUCCAAUCAAGAUCAAAAUAUUGAGGAACAGCCAAAUGCUGGUGGAGUGGGUGUUAUUGUGUCAACCCGUUGUGAGGUAAAUCAUCCAGAAAAAGCUACAUGUGCACAAGACAACUGCAUAGAGGAGAAACAUUCAGACAGCUUCUUUAGAGAGUCUAGUCGUCAUAAUGGGGAGGAAGGAAUGGAUUUGAGUGUAUAUUCCUCUCAUCAUGAAGUUCCCCAGAAAUCUAACUUUGGGCGGUCUGUCCCUCAAAAUCAUCCCCCCUCAGGUCCUCAAAAAUAUGGUUAUCAAGAGUCACCACAUGGUGCUGCCAUGGGUUUGAAGAACAGGGGAGACCUAGUCCAGGGAGUGUAACUGGAUCAAAUUCAAGGUAUCAAGGCUUCCAUCAGCCAAAGCCCAGUUAUGGGCCUGAACACACCAAGGAUGUCGCGGGCACUACAGUUGAGGGAUCAGUGAGGAGAAGAGAAGGAUCAGGAGCAAGAGGACAUGAUGAUCAUUCUCAACUCCAGCAUCAUUUCCAAGCCUCUUGCAGGAGGUUCUACAGGGUUAUCACUUAGACCGGCGCUAUGGGCGAUCUGAACAGGCACUAACUGCCCAUCUCCAGGCUCAAAAUAUGACUCGGCAACAGUACCAAACCAGGCAUCCUUAUGGCAUGGCUGAAAGUAUGAGAACCCAAACUGGAGUUGGAGAGGUCACUUCCCACCCCUCCCGAAUGACCAGCCCUGGAAAGCCUCUUCAACUAAAUCAGCGCCAGGGGCCUGGAUCUGAUUUUGUACCAGAAUCACCUCAAUCCUCCUUGAGGUCUGAAGGAGUAGAUACUAAGGGAUCUCACAGUGCUUCUUCAGAGAAAAAUAAAAUGGCAACACCGCAGCGUCACCUGACCCAUAUGCCACAGUCUACAGAGUUUUUGUCUGGACCUCCACCAAAACACAUCAAUUUAGCCGACUACUCGUUACCUCACAGGAAACCCCCUUCAGGUCUGCCCAGCUCAUCAUCAGCUGUACAGGAACUCCUAUUGCAGAAAACAGAGCCGCUAGCAGGCAGUGUGGAACCAUAGGUCAAAUUGAGUCUCAAAUGUUGACGUCCUCCCUUUUACCUCCAUCUAAAGAGCGCCGCUCUGUCAUAUGUGAUGUUUGUCCCAAUCGCCGCUGUACACCAGAAAGGGAUGGGAAACGUGAAAAAAGUGAAAAAAGUCCAAUUGGUGCCUCUGUCAUCCAACUUCCAUCAACAAAUGAUCUAGGGAACAGUAAGGAGAUGGGAAAUAAAAAAGAGGUUGGAGUGAAGGUAGCAUCAAAGGAGACUGCAGAGGCUGUCCAUCAUAGUGGUCUUACUACCAAGGAAACUGAUGUUGAGCAUCAUAAAAAGGCUUUACACCCAUCUGUGGUUAUGAAUGCAGAGCCUCUUAGAAGAGGUAAGAUUGAUUUGACCACCACCAUGCCCUCUCAACAUCUGCAGCAAACUUCUCACUAUCCCUCUACCACCAACCCUCUGUCUCCACCAUCAAGACAUCAGUCAUACCCACAUGGUGUAGAUUUAUCUGCAGGGCAUGCCAGUGGCUUUCCUGGUUCCAGGUUUGGUGAUACAAGAGAGGGCAAUAUGAUGCCACGUAACCCCCAUUUUCACAAUCCCUACCACUCACCCCAAGUUCAUUUACAAAACCCACAAUCCACAAACAAAUUACAAAUGUAUACUCACCUCCAUGCUCAUGACUUGGAUGACAGACUUAAUUGGGUAGCUACCAUUAAUAGACCCACCAAGGAUCUGAUGCAGUCCAGUACUUCUCCAGGUAGACACAAACUCAGUCAUUCAGAGCAGAGACAAAGAAUGCAGUCUCCAACUGACAUUUUGCACAAUCGCCAAACCGUUUGCUAAACAGCAAGUUCCUCAUCAGAACACUUACUAUGACAUGAAAAUGUGGGAGUCAACACACUCUGGUAGAGAGAGUGUGGGGAUGUUGGAGGGGGAUCCUUACCAGAGAAGUCAACAGCCACCUCCUGCUGCUCCUCUUGGGUCUGUUGCCCCCAAUUGGUUCCAACAGCUCCACCAGUCUCCAACAUUCUUGAAUCACCUGUCUCCCAAGUGGUUACAGAAGAAAUCUUUAAAUCCAUCCAUCCAACACCUAAUUCCAUGAAAACAGUUGGUCCCAGUAUUGGUGGCAAUGUCAAUUCCGUGAUGCCACAGAGCCAUCGACCAAAUAAAACUGGGGGUUCUGGGGACACUAAUCCAUUGAUGUUGAGGAGGAGAGUUCGUUCUUUCAUUUCCCCUAUCCCAGCUAAGAGGCAGCAUCAGGAUGUAUCACAGCAAAGGAGUGCCCCUAGUUCAUAUCACUCACCUUUGGCCUACUCUGAAUCCAGCCUCCAAAAUGACGAUGACUCAUCCAGUUCAGAUAUAACUACACUUGGUUCACCUAAUACUCCUUGUCCCACACCUGGACAAAGCACUUAUUCACAAUCCUCCUCACCUGUUCAGGGUAAAAAGAGUCUGCCUCCAAGAAAAGGGAGAGGUUUGAAACUGGAGGCUAUUGUUCAGAAAAUUACACCAAAUGUGAAGAAAUCUACUAACAGCGGCCAUACCGAUGUUGACUCAAAUGAUUUUGCUGGAUUUUCUCACACUGAAAUGUCACAGUUUACUGACACACAGGACGAAGAGGAAUGUUUACCUUAUCUCGAUGAAAGUCUCUCAUUAAGUGACAUUAUGCCCUACAGAGGGGUUGAUGAGACUGGACCGUUACCUCCCACCGCAUACCCCUGUGAUCCUCACCAGACAUCACAAGUUCUUAAACGCGGCACCACAGGAACUGUUACAAGACCUUUGCAGCCAGACUUUGACUUUGGGUUAGGGACUGCAGCAUCUAGUACUGGUGAUAGAGAUAAAGAGAUACACGCUGACUUCACCUUGUUAGGGCCCUUACCCCCACCUCCACCACUACCUUGUCCAGUACAGGGCUCCCCCCCACCGUCUUCAUCUGCCUUGUCUGAUAUUCAACAUUUCACUAAUACUUACCAGCAACUUGAGACUCGAAGAGGUGAACAAUCUGCUGCUAACCUUCUGAGACAAAAACUUGAAGAAACUGGGAUUGGAUUUGAUGAUUACAGUAGCAGUGACUAUUAUGGAACCACCCCACCACACCACAGUCAGGCUCAAGGGCACUUACUAAGACAGCCACAUCAAACUUCUCCAAGGUCAUCUUUGGCAAUGACAGGGUCACCACAAGAUUCCAAACAAUCAGACAAUUCUGUACCCAAAGGCUAUUUCCCAUCAGGCAAGAAGAAGGGAAGGCCUGUUGGAAGUGUGAAUAAGCAAAAACGUGCUCAAGCCACCCAGGCCCAGGCACAGAAUGUGAGCCCAAAUGCUCUGUCUGGCCCACCCAUUCAAUCUCCUGCAACUGUUAGCCCACAGGUAGCCCCAAGCCCUAGCACUACAGCCUCUGCCCCAUCAGUCAGUCCUCCAACUGAUCAGAAAAUGACUCCUCCUGAGAUUCCACCAGUCUUGACCCCAUCAGUAAAAGUGGAUGCUGAAAGUGAGGACACUCAGCCAGAGCUGGAGGUGAUAUCAGUCUGCCAGAAACAAGGGGGGUGAAAGAUGAGAGUGAGGUAGUGGGAUCAAGAGGCAGGCAGAGGAGGAGAAGAAGAGGAGUAGCAGCAGCGGCGGCCAAAGAUGACCUGGAAGCGGCUACAAGAGCAGGGGGACAUUUUGAAAACAGCAGAGUUUUUCCUGAUAAUAGCAAGUGUGCCUUUGCUCCAUACAUACAUGUGGAGAGGAAAGUAGCUGAGAUAGGAGCCGUGUGCACAAUUGUGAAUGGUGAAGAGGAAAAGAUGAAGGGAGAGCGUGGAGCAGUUGGAGGGAAAGCAAGCAGUAGUGGUAUUGAAGCUCUUUUGACCUCAGCUCUUUUGUCUCAACUGCCUAGGAGAGAUGGAGAAAUUGAGAGGGUCAAAGAGAAGAGGGAACUGGAGGAUGUAGACUCUGCCCUCCAGGCAGGAAAGGUUCUACCUUCAUCUGAGUACCUUCUACCAGGCCCUGUGAUUACUGAAUCCAUUCAUUCUGGCCGUCUUCUCUGCUGCCUGUGCCAGAAAUGGGCAAAUUACAAAAACCUUGGGGAUCUCUAUGGACCUUACUACCCUCCUGAAUAUGCUACAAGGCUUCCCAAGAAUCAACCCCAGAUUCGACAGAGUCUUGUAACUACUGGGAUGAAUAGAAAUGUGCAAAAUCUAGACACCAUUUCAAAUGUGUUGACCACCCAGGGCCGUGAACUGCAAGAUGUGCCAACUAUCAAGUCCUCAACUUAUAGUGAUUGCAUGUUCAAUCAAGAGACCAAUACAACUUCUCCUGCCACUGCUGUUGGCACUGCCUCUCCAGCAGGUGGAGGGGAGAUGCUUUAUCUGGCCAGCAAACUUGCUAAAACCACCACCAACAAGACAACAGUUCUUAAUUGGGACAUGCCUCCAGAGUUAAAACCAGUUACUGAGCUAAGGAAACAACCUGAACUUCAGAAUGAGCCCACUUACAGUCAGCAAAACCAACCAUGCCAGCAACAGCAGACAGAAGACACUCAACAAAGGCCACAACACAGAAAGCUGACGUCGCACCCAAGAUUUAAAAGGAGACAGAAAUCCAGUGAGAAUUCCCCAAGAAUGGUGCCAUCCAACAGCAAAGCCUCAUUGCCAUUCCAGCCCCCUCCCCCAACCUUAGACUCCCUUGGGCCUUUGGCACAGCUGGCCCAACUUCCUCAGAUGCCUAUAGACCCAGAGGAGCUGUGGGUGCAUGAGGCAUGCAUGGUCUGGACAAGUGGGGUUUACCUGGUCAAUGGAAGACUGUAUGGCCUACAGGAGGCACUAGAUGGUGCCAGAGACACAGUCUGCUCUUAUUGUGAAAUGGUUGGCUCAACCCUCGGCUGUUACAGCAAAGGCUGCACACUGAGAUAUCACUACCCGUGUGCCAUGGAUGCAGACUGCUCUCUGAAUGAAGAUAACUUUUCACUACGAUGUCCGAAGCAUAAGGUAAAAAGGGAGAGUUUCCCCAGAGCAGCCAGCCAGCUAAAUCUGUGUACCUUGAGCAGUCUGAGAGAGGCUGAGAGAGACACUGAGGAGGAGGAGACGCAGGAGUAUAGGAUCGGUAUGUUUGGACGAUGAGGAUUGUCAGUGAAACAAACAGCCCUAAACAGGAUGGGACGUGCAUCUUUUGACGGGUGGACUAUGAUGACGGAGAAAAAAAGAGGAUUGUAAAAUUUCUGAACAGAAAUUAACUUUAAAACAUUUAAGAAAAAGAAAAACUCCUUACUUUAAAAAGAAAAACAGAUCAAAGCAAAGCAACGCUGAGGUAGACUUAAAAAGGAAGACCAAGGUGGGACAGAACGAGACAUUGCGAGUGAUGGAACAGAAAGGAACUUCCUCUUAAAAGAAACAAACAGCCUCUCUAGGCAAACUUUGCAUUUCUGGAAAUACCCUCAAACUCUUCUUUCCAUCAUGGCUCUAGUCAUUUUAUCUAUCAUGUUUUUUUGUCCAAAUGUUAUGAAUCAGAGUAUUGAGAACAACCCACCCAGAGAACUGUAAGAGAGCGUUGGGGUGAAAAGUUGACAUUAUAGUUGGAAGGGAAGGAGAGGCAAUGUAUCUACUUCAUGUAGUAUUUUAUCAUAAUCUUCAUAAUCAUUAUUUUAGUUAUCAUUAUUAUUUUGUAUCUGCAUCAGUAUUUACUGAAAUAGAUUUAUCUCCAUUUAUAAUUUGUCAACAUUUAUCAAACAUGGGAUAUUUUAUCAUUCCUGGAGAGGGAGGUGCCAGAAUGACAUCAUUUGGAAUGUCAAGGCCGAGUUGCCACAAAGACAUUAUUGCCUUGGAGAAUGGACAUUUGUUGCCUUUCAAAGUGCGUAUGUAUAAGAGUGAAUGUGUGUGAAAAUGUGGAUUUGAGUGUCCAUUUUUGGUCCUUUGAAAAGUGUUCUUAUUUUUCAUCCUUGGGGUUUUUACGGUACAGAUAGUAGUCAUGAAAAUCGAAUGGACAUGAUCUUAUUUUUCAAACAAAAUAUUCUUAAUGUGCUGAGAGAACAAUUGAACCAUUACAGAAGGAGACUAAUGCCUGCCUGCCAUCUUUGACCAUGUUGAUUGGGAGAAGACGUCACUUGACAGGGUGCGGUCCUGGGGGCCAUGGCCCUUUUGUUGUCCUACUGGUGUGAGGGCAGUCAGAAGGUCCCCAAGCCCCUCUGCUCGGCCAACAAACUGACCAAAUGCAUACCUGUGCCCGGGGUCUCGCAUAACUCCACCUCCAUCCAGUUCUCCUGGGAGACGGGGGACGACCGCUUCGUCUUCCCUGCCUUCCAUGCAGGCAUGUGGAUGAGCUGUGAGGAGAACAUCUACACUGACGCCUGGGAGGAAAAGUGUCGCAGUUUUCUUUCUUUAACUCCAGGAGGUGAAAAAGUUGUGUCCGGAUGCCUUUUGGCCCUCACAGAUCUGGGGACAGCUCCUCAAUGCCUACUCUGCAGUCUUCACUAUAUUAGGAGGUUCACAUUUUAAUUUAGAAUCUAUCUUUUUUUAUCAAUUAGCACAGGGUUUCCCAAACUCGGUUCUGAGUCGUCGUCACUACAGCUGAUUCAAGUAACCAACUAGUAAUCAAGCUUUGAUGAUUUGAGUCAUCAGUGUAGUGCUAGGGCAAAAACCAAAAUGUGUACCCGGGGGAUGGCCCCAGAACCGAGUUUGGGAAACCGUGAUAUAGCAGAAGCUCUUAUGCAGAGCAACUUACAACCAGUGAGUUCCAACUUAGGUAAGACACCCACACAUCACAGUCAUUGCAAGGAAAACUUUCCUCAAUAAAGCUAUUAGUGAAAUCAGUGCUUGUAUGAUAAAUAAAAAUGUCUCUCUGAUGGAAUCCUCAUAUAAGCUUUCAAUGUCUGUUUUAUUCUCUUAGGGUUACUGGGAAUGGUGGCUCACAAGAUGUUCAUGCAGGUGUUUCAGACUACUGCCUCUAUGGGUCCAGAGGACUUCAAACCACACAGCUAUGGCUACUCCUGGGGCUUUUAUGUGGCAUGGCUGGCCUUUACCUGCUGCAUGUUGUCAGGAGUCUCCACCCUCAACAACUACACCAAGAAGACUAAUGGAGCGGAGGUGCAAAGCCCGCCUCUACCCCCCUCGAUUCCCUGACAUAGAGCCCCUGUCCC